rnacentral:snoRNA from 1 species
AAUUGUUGCGAUGAGGAUACCAAACUCCCUCUUCUGAAGGCAUUGAGGCUCGCAGGCAGAAUCAAACCAAUAAUCCUAUUGCCACCACUGAGUAA